AGGGAUGUUGCUCAGUGGUAGAGCACUUACCUAGCAUGCAUGAGAUCCAGGAUUGAAUCCCCAGCAACCCCC
rnacentral:tRNA from 1 species